UACGUAGGGUGCAAGCGUUGUCCGGAAUUAUUGGGCGUAAAGGGCUCGUAGGCGGUCCAUCGCGUCGGGAGUGAAAAGCUGGGGCUUAACCCCAGUCCUGCUUCCGAUACGGGUGGACUAGAGGUAGGUAGGGGAGAACGGAAUUCCUGGUGUAGCGGUGAAAUGCGCAGAUAUCAGGAGGAACACCGGUGGCGAAGGCGGUUCUCUGGGCCUUACCUGACGCUGAUGCGCGAAAGCCAGGGGAGCGAACGGG
rnacentral:rRNA from 1 species